rnacentral:rRNA from 1 species
UGGGGAAUAUUGCACAAUGGGCGAAAGCCUGAUGCAGCAACGCCGCGUGAGUGAUGAAGGUCUUCGGAUUGUAAAGCUCUGUCUUUUGGGACGAUAAUGACGGUACCAAAGGAGGAAGCCACGGCUAACUACGUGCCAGCAGCCGCGGUAAUACGUAGGUGGCGAGCGUUGUCCGGAUUUACUGGGCGUAAAGGGUGCGUAGGCGGAUGUUUAAGUGAGAUGUGAAAUACCCGGGCUUAACUUGGGUGCUGCAUUUCAAACUGGAUAUCUAGAGUGCAGGAGAGGAGAAUGGAAUUCCUAGUGUAGCGGUGAAAUGCGUAGAGAUUAGGAAGAACACCAGUGGCGAAGGCGAUUCUCUGGACUGUAACUGACGCUGAGGCACGAAAAGCGUGGGUAGCAAACAGGAUUAGAUACCCUGGUAGUCCACGCCGUAAAACGAUGAGUACUAGGUGUAGGAGGUAUCGACCCCUUCUGUGCCGCAGUAAACACAUUAAAGUACUCCGCCUGGGAAGUA